CAGGGAGCAAUUACUUCCCUUGCAUUCUUCCAUGGUUAGGGAUUUAAAGAGAACUUCUUUAUGAUUUUCCUAAUAUGGCCCCCACAUCUGUGAAUUUAACCAAUGAUUUCUUAUUGACAGUUUCUGCUUCCACACUUCCUGAGGUCACUCUGCUUCUCCUAAGGAUUGCUAGCUCCACGAUGGCUCCGAACAAGAUUAUCAGCAGGACUGUAUUUUGAACAUCUCACAUCCAGAUGUGUACAUUUCAGGAUGGAUCAAGAAGGCACCAGGACGACAUACAUUUUUAUGAAAAUGAAUCAUCUGAUAAACCCCCUUCCCCUGGCUUAGACAAACAGGGAACAGAAUGGAAUCAUUAAUUCCUGAACAAAAAGCUUCCCACAGGCCUCUUUCCACCUCGAUUCAAAGACCGUAAACACUAAGACAGGUACAGAUUGGUUUGAGACCAACAGCCUGAAUUUACAAAGGAAGAGGUCAUGUCUAAUCAGCGUGAUUAAUAUCGCUCAGGCAGGAUCUUGGAGCAGACUGGGGUGAGACACAAGAUGAAAUUUGCUUGAGCUUGGAGAAGGCCUUGAUAAGAGGAGACGGUCAGCAAACUCGAUUUGGGAAGCCGAGCUUUGAUGGUAUAAAUAUUUAGGGAAGUGGGUGUCUGUCCAGAUUGGCAGUCAUUUCU